GCCAGUGUGGUGUAGUGGUUUGAGCAUUGGACUGUGACUCGGCACCAGGAUUCAAAUCCCUGCUGGGCCA